AUUAGCGGAUGACUUGUGGCUGGGGGUGAAAGGCCAAUCAAACCGGGAGAUAGCUGGUUCUCCCCGAAAGCUAUUUAGGUAGCGCCUCGUGAAUUCAUCUCCGGGGGUAGAGCACUGUUUCGGCAAGGGGGUCAUCCCGACUUACCAACCCGAUGCAAACUGCGAAUACCGGAGAAUGUUAUCACGGGAGACACACGGCGGGUGCUAACGUCCGUCGUGAAGAGGGAAACAACCCAGACCGCCAGCUAAGGUCCCAAAGUCAUGGUUAAGUGGGAAACGAUGUGGGAAGGCCCAGACAGCCAGGAUGUUGGCUUAGAAGCAGCCAUCAUUUAAAGAAAGCGUAAUAGCUCACUGGUCGAGUCGGCCUGCGCGGAAGAUGUAACGGGGCUAAACCAUGCACCGAAGCUGCGGCAGCGACGCUUAUGCGUUGUUGGGUAGGGGAGCGUUCUGUAAGCCUGUGAAGGUGUGCUGUGAGGCAUGCUGGAGGUAUCAGAAGUGCGAAUGCUGACAUAAGUAACGAUAAAGCGGGUGAAAAGCCCGCUCGCCGGAAGACCAAGGGUUCCUGUCCAACGUUAAUCGGGGCAGGGUGAGUCGACCCCUAAGGCGAGGCCGAAAGGCGUAGUCGAUGGGAAACAGGUUAAUAUUCCUGUACUUGGUGUUACUGCGAAGGGGGGACGGAGAAGGCUAUGUUGGCCGGGCGACGGUUGUCCCGGUUUAAGCGUGUAGGCUGGUUUUCCAGGCAAAUCCGGAAAAUCAAGGCUGAGGCGUGAUGACGAGGCACUACGGUGCUGAAGCAACAAAUGCCCUGCUUCCAGGAAAAGCCUCUAAGCAUCAGGUAACAUCAAAUCGUACCCCAAACCGACACAGGUGGUCAGGUAGAGAAUACCAAGGCGCUUGAGAGAACUCGGGUGAAGGAACUAGGCAAAAUGGUGCCGUAACUUCGGGAGAAGGCACGCUGAUAUGUAGGUGAAGCGACUUGCUCGUGGAGCUGAAAUCAGUCGAAGAUACCAGCUGGCUGCAACUGUUUAUUAAAAACACAGCACUGUGCAAACACGAAAGUGGACGUAUACGGUGUGACGCCUGCCCGGUGC
rnacentral:rRNA from 1 species